UAGCUCAGUUGGUUAGAGCGCCCGGCUCAUAACCGGUAGGUCUGGGGUUCGAGUCCCU
rnacentral:tRNA from 1 species